UAUAGCACUGGACACAGAUGGGCGAUUAUUGAAAAACCCAACACCUAGAAGGCAAGAUAAUUCUUUUGGCGGUUGUGUAACCUUGGUGAACUCGGUACAAAGUGUAAAGGAUUGGCUACCUUUAUAAAUGGGUUGUGUGCGCAUUUUGUAUAUUUAUAGGCUUUGAUGAAUCACAUUAAUAUACGUAAAAUUGUAAAAAUGUCUGGCUUUCAUAGGUGUUGCAUGAGAAGCGAGUGCGAGGAAAGUCUUAAUUGUUUUUUGGGUUCAGAUUAGUCAGGACGGAUUUGCAAUUGUUGUUCUAACAUAAUCCACACUGAGUGAAUGACGAAAAAGAAAAAAAAAGAAGAAAUUUCUAAGCAAUUGGUUUAGACGUCUCCAAGUGAGGUUCAUGACAUAUCCAUGAUGUUUCCAAUUAAUGCUGCAAGAUCUGUAAUUGGGCAGAUCAGAGAUUUGAUUCUAGGUUUUGUUUCUUCAACAAUGUUCACGUAAAAGUUUCGUCUUUUUAUGUAA
rnacentral:lncRNA from 1 species